GAUGAACGCUGGCGGCGUGCUUAACACAUGCAAGUCGAACGGAAAGGCCCAAGCUUGCUUGGGUACUCGAGUGGCGAACGGGUGAGUAACACGUGGGUGAUCUGCCCUGCACUUCGGGAUAAGCCUGGGAAACUGGGUCUAAUACCGGAUAGGACCACUUCUUGGAUGUUGUGGUGGAAAGUUUUUUCGGUGUGGGAUGAGCUCACGGCCUAUCAGCUUGUUGGUGGGGUAAUGGCCUACCAAGGCGUCGACGGGUAGCCGGCCUGAGAGGGUGUACGGCCACAUUGGGACUGAGAUACGGCCCAGACUCCUACGGGAGGCAGCAGUGGGGAAUAUUGCACAAUGGGCGCAAGCCUGAUGCAGCGACGCCGCGUGGGGGAUGACGGCCUUCGGGUUGGAAACUCCUUUCGCUAGGGACGAAGCGUUUUGUGACGGUACCUGGAGAAGAAGCACCGGCUAACUACGUG
rnacentral:rRNA from 1 species